rnacentral:rRNA from 1 species
AGUGAACGCUGGCGGUAGGCCUAACACAUGCAAGUCGAACGGCAGCACAGUAAGAGCUUGCUCUUACGGGUGGCGAGUGGCGGACGGGUGAGGAAUACAUCGGAAUCUACUUUUUCGUGGGGGAUAACGUAGGGAAACUUACGCUAAUACCGCAUACGACCUACGGGUGAAAGCAGGGGAUCUUCGGACCUUGCGCGAUUGAAUGAGCCGAUGUCGGAUUAGCUAGUUGGCGGGGUAAAGGCCCACCAAGGCGACGAUCCGUAGCUGGUCUGAGAGGAUGAUCAGCCACACUGGUACUGAGACACGGUCCAGACUCCUACGGGAGGCAGCAGUGGGGAAUAUUGGACAAUGGGCGCUAGCCUGAUCCAGCCAUACCGCGUGGGUGAAGAAGGCCUUCGGGUUGUAAAGCCCUUUUGUUGGGAAAGAAAAGCAGCAGGUUAAUACCCCGCUGUUCUGACGGUACCCAAAGAAUAAGCACCGGCUAACUUCGUG